rnacentral:rRNA from 1 species
AAAGACAAGAAGACCCUUUUAAGCUUAAUAAAGAAUUCUUUGGCUUUUAUCUUAUCAAGAAUCUGGCUAAGGUCUAUAAAUUUGGUUGGGGUGACUGAAGAAGAUAAAAUCUUCUUUUGUUUAUUAGUACUUUAGGUUAAAAAAUGACCCAAGAUUUCUUGGUUGUAAGAAUUAGUUACUAAAGGGAUAACAGCGUAAUCUUUUCAAAGAGUUCUUAUCGAAGAAAAGGAUUGCGACCUCGAUGUGACUUGCUUUUUCCUGUUAUGGUGUAGAAGCUGUAAGGGUUGGUCUGUCGACCAUUAAAAUAGU